UACCAGCUCUUCGAGUAGUGUGGAUGUUUAUUGGGCCUAAAGCAUCCGUAGCUGGCUGGGCAAGUCCCCUGUUAAAUCCACCGAUUUAAUCGUUGGAGUGCGGGGGAUACUGUUCGGCUAGGGGACGGGAGAGGCAGACGGUAUUUUCGGGGUAGGGGUGAAAUCCUAUAAUCCCGGGAAGACCACCAGUGGCGAAGGCUGUCUGCUAGAACGCGCCCGACGGUGAGGGAUGAAAGCUGGGGGAGCGAACCGGAUUAGAUACCCGGGUAGUCCCAGCUGUAAACGAUGCAGGCUAGGUGUUUGGGCGGCCACGUGCCGCUCUAGUGCCGCAGGGAAGCCGUUAAGCCUGCCGCCUGGGGAGUACGGCCACAAGGCUGAAACUUAAAGGAAUUGGCGGGGGAGCACCACAAGGGGUGAAGCUUGCGGUUU
rnacentral:rRNA from 1 species